UACGUAGGGGGCCCAGCGUUGUCCGGAAUCAUUGGGCGUAAAGCGCGCGUAGGCGGUCGGAUAAGUCCGGUGUGAAAGUCACAGGCUCAACCUGUGAAUGCCGCUGGAAACUGUCUGGCUUGAGUCCGGGAGGGGCGAGUGGAAUUCCUGGUGUAGCGGUGAAAUGCGCAGAUAUCAGGAGGAACACCAAUGGCGAAGGCAGCUCGCUGGAACGGUACUGACGCUGAGGCGCGAAAGCUAGGGGAGCGAACAGGAUUAGAUACCCGGGUAGU
rnacentral:rRNA from 1 species